CCUACGGGUGGCUGCAGUGGGGAAUAUUGGGCAAUGGACGCAAGUCUGACCCAGCAACGCCGCGUGAAGGAAGAAGGCUCUCGGGUUGUAAACUUCCUUUUAGGGGGAAGAGCAGAAGACGGUACCCCUUGAAUAAGCCAUGGCUAACUACGUGCCAGCAGCCGCGGUAAUACGUAGGUCGCAAGCGUUGGCCGGAUUUACUGGGUGAAAAGGGUGUGCAGCCGGGCCGACAAGUCAGAUGUGAAACCCGCGGGCUUAACCCGCGAACUGCAUUUGAAACUAUUGGUCUUGAGUACCGGAGAGGUCAUCGGAAUUCCUGGUGUAGCGGUGAAAUGCGUAGAUAUAAGGAAGAACACCGGUGGCGAAGGCAGAGGACUGGACGGCAACUGACGGUGAGGCGCGAAAGCGUGGGGAGCAAACAGGAUUAGAUACCCUUGUAGUC
rnacentral:rRNA from 1 species